UUCGGUUCCCGUUUCUUCGUUGGGUCUCAGGAGUUCGAUCGUAGCUUGGUUAACUGGUAAGCAUCAUCAAUUAGUUCCGACGAAUUGAUUUCUCCGUAGGAAUCAUCUCCGAUAAUUGUGAUGAGUACUAGGUUAUCAUUUCGCUCCUCGUCGAAGGAAGGCGCUCCUUUAUCUUGAGGUUUCUGGAUUAUUAAUUCCUUCAGUGGCCAGGAUGAAGACUGAAGCAUCUGUGUCCACUAUACUGGUGGUAGCAGCGGAGUGUGCACGAGAAGGAAGGUCUUAGAUUUCAUGAACCAGACAUGGCCCUUUUUCCACUUUAUGUGGACAAAGAUUGAUGUGCUUCUGUCACCAAGUCUCGGUCACUUGGCAUCAGGAGCAACACCAAAUUCGCGUGGAAAACAUGUAGAGGUUGGCAACUAUGCAUUGCUUCCCAUCAUUCAAUUCCCAACGGGGAGUUACUGGGUCACUCUCAUGCCAGUAUGGUCAAA